rnacentral:rRNA from 1 species
UACUGGUUAUCUUGAGUUGUAUUGAAGUAGGCGGAAUAUGUAGUGUAGCGGUGAAAUGCAUAGAUAUUACAUAGAACACCAAUUGCGAAGGCAGCUUACUAAGUACUAACUGACGCUGAUGGACGAAAGCGUGGGUAGCGAACAGGAUUAGAUACCCUGGUAGUCCACGCCGUAAACGAUGGAUACUAGCUGUUCGGGGCCUUGAGUUCUGAGCGGCUAAGCGAAAGUGAUAAGUAUCCCACCUGGGGAGUACGUUCGCAAGAAUGAAACUCAAAGGAAUUGACGGGGGCCCGCACAAGCGGUGGAGCAUGUGGUUUAAUUCGAUGAUACGCGAGGAACCUUACCAGGGCUUAAAUGUAGUCUGACAGCUUUAGAGAUAGAGUUUUCUUCGGACAGAUUACAAGGUGCUGCAUGGUUGUCGUCAGCUCGUGCCGUGAGGUGUCAGGUUAAGUCCUAUAACGAGCGCAACCCCUGUCGUUAGUUGCCAGCAUGUCAUGAUGGGGACUCUAACGAGACUGCCGGUGCAAACCGCGAGGAAGGUGGGGAUGACGUCAAAUCAUCACGGCCCUUACGUCCUGGGCCACACACGUGCUACAAUGUCCGGUACAGAGAGCAGCCACGUCGCAAGGCGGAGCGAAUCUAUAAAACCGGUCACAGUUCGGAUC